rnacentral:rRNA from 1 species
GAUGAACGCUGGCGGCGUGCCUAAUACAUGCAAGUCGAGCGAACGGACGAGAAGCUUGCUUUUCUGAUGUUAGCGGCGGACGGGUGAGUAAAACGUGGAUAACCUACCUAUAAGACUGGGAUAACUUCGGGAAACCGGAGCUAAUACCGGAUAAUAUUUUGAACCGCAUGGUUCAUAAGUGAAAGACGGUCUUGCUGUCACUUAUAGAUGGAUCCGCGCUGCAUUAGCUAGUUGGUAAGGUAACGGCUUACCAAGGCAACGAUGCAUAGCCGACCUGAGAGGGUGAUCGGCCACACUGGAACUGAGACACGGUCCAGACUCCUACGGGAGGCAGCAGUAGGGAAUCUUCCGCAAUGGGCGAAAGCCUGACGGAGCAACGCCGCGUGAGUGAUGAAGGUCUUCGGAUCGUAAAACUCUGUUAUUAGGGAAGAACAUAUGUGUAAGUAACUGUGCACAUCUUGACGGUACCUAAUCAGAAAGCCACGGCUAACUACGUG